UAUUUUUCUAUUCAACAUGUAAUGUCGUCAGCUAACGGUCCACGCAUUUGUGUGCAAAACAUGCAUGCAAAUUGUUCCUGACUGAAAGCUGGCCGCAAGAGACUCCUACCUCAGCGAAUGCUUUUAGUCGAUAAAGCUCUCGAUAUUUUUCGCAAAAGGAAAUCAUUAAUGAUCCAAGAUUGCGCAUAUACCUGAUGCUUAUCUCAAUCAAUAUUAUAUGUGCAAAAAUCGUGACAUUAAUGUACGUAUAUCUCUUGCGCUUGCAAUCUUUGGAGUACAUUAAUGAACAUCUAAUAUAUUUCAACCUCUUGCUAUUUAUAAACUUGCCGUCCCUGCCUGCCACAUUUGGUGUCUUACUGGGACCUUACACUUGACUAGAGCCGAGUUUUUCAAGAGAUAGCCAAUAUGAGAGGGAGCAAUCUAGUGCAGGCAACGACGAUAUUCUUCAUCGGAUGCCUUGUCGUGUGUGUCCAGUGUGGUCUCGACGCUAAUGAAAUGGUAGUCAAACAAGAUGGCCGUGUGGCGAAUACAAGUACUGACGCUACCGUUGUCAACUCAACGUCUGUAGGCGACAGCAAGAUAACUGUCAAAUUUUGCAUCCAAAAUUUGGGAUGCCAUCUUUCAGAUGGGUACCGUGGUACAUGCUACUGCUGCCAGAAAGAUGAGAUCGAGUGUUUCAGGACGCGGAGUGAGUGUCAGGACAUCUGCCCUACGUGCAACCCAAAAUGCCCACCUCCGUCGGGGUCUCUUGGAUAGAAUUUCAGGCUCGAACAAAUUGUCCAUCGGUAAUAAAAGGAAGAACCUAAUUUGGUUUGGGCAACUGGCUCCCAACCAAACAUCAACGGAUAUCCUUUGGUCGUCGUGCUUCGAUAGGAUUGUCUAAUAUACUUUCUCUCUCCUUUUUCUUUGGGAGAUUAUGAGGUUGGCUUUGAAUGUUUCCACAACAUUCCUUGCA